rnacentral:rRNA from 1 species
UCGGAUUACUGGGCGUAAGCGUGCGCAGGCGGUUUUGUAAGACAGGCGUGAAAUCCCCGGGCUCAACCUGGGAACUGCGUUUGUGACUGCAAGGCUAGAGUACGGCAGAGGGGGGUGGAAUUCCACGUGUAGCAGUGAAAUGCGUAGAGAUGUGGAGGAACACCAAUGGCGAAGGCAGCCCCCUGGGUCGAUACUGACGCUCAUGCACGAAAGCGUGGGUAGCAAACAGGAUUAGAUACCCUGGUAGUCCACGCCCUAAACGAUGUCAACUAGGUGUUGGGAGGGUAAAACCUUUUAGUGC